AGAGGGUGCAAACGUUGCUCGGAUUUACUGGGCGUAAAGCGCGUGUAGGCGGACUCGCAAGUCGGUUGUGAAAUCCCUGGGCUCAACCUAGGAACUGCAUCCGAAACUGCUUGUCUUGAGUAAUGGAGAGGGUGGCGGAAUUCCCGGUGUAGAGGUGAAAUUCGUAGAUAUCGGGAGGAACAUCAGUGGCGAAGGCGGCCACCUGGACAUUUACUGACGCUGAGACGCGAAAGCGUGGGGAGCAAACAGGGAUUAGAUACCCUGGUAGUCCACGCCGUAAGCGAUGAGAACUAGGUGCAGCGGAUAUUGACCUCUGCUGUGCCGUAGCUAACGCGUUAAGUUCUCCGCCUGGGGAGUACGGCCGCAAGGCUA
rnacentral:rRNA from 1 species